rnacentral:tRNA from 1 species
UAGCUUGGUUGGUAGAGCGUCUGCCUUGUAAGCGCUAGGCCGCGGGUUCAAUUCCUGC